ACUCGAUAAUCCACGCAUACUCAACCUUCCCUAGAUAUUGCAGCAUGUGUACUGCCGUUGUAAGCAUACCUUUAAAAGAACAAGUAUGCUACUAUGAUUGAAUAACUUAACUCAUAUACAUCAGGUCAAAGUGCAGCCAAUAAGAAGGUGAUGAUGGGUUACAACCCAAAAACAGACUAUCAACUAAGAAAUAAAAAAUCUUACGAAAGUGGACUUGGCCGUAAUCAAUUUACAAGUUAAAAAAAUGAAUAAAAAUCUAAGACAUGUACACAUCGCCCGUCACUCUAUCCUAAAGGAUAGAUAAGUCGUAACAAAGUAGGUGUAAUGGAAAUUGCACCUGUCGAAGUAUAGCAUAUGUAAUGCUUUUUACUUACACUAAAAACAAAGUUAAACAACUUGCUUCGCAUACACAACAUAAUCUUAUAACACUUAAAAUAAUAAAAACAAUUAAACAAAUUUUAAUAAACUAACAAGUACAGAAAUGGAAAAAACAAUAAAUAAAAGUAAAUCUUAACAACUGUACCUUGUGCAUUAUGGUUUUACAAGAAAAUAAUUAAAUACACUAAUCCCGAAUUCUAAAUGAGAUGUUAAACUGCUGUUACGAACCCAUUAAUAACUGUGGAAAAAGCUUUAAAAGACAGUUUAACAGAGGCUACAUACCAUCCGCAUAAGAAUAUAGCUGGUUUUCAACAAACAUUAUAUAUUAAAACAUAUAAUUAUAUUAUAGUGUAAUAUUAUUGAGGAUAAGCCCAAUAAUCUAAACAAUAUCUAAACCAAACCUAUUUCAUUUUAUAGGCCUAAAAUCAGCCAACCAAAAUACUUUACCGUAACAAGCACUGAUAAAAUACAUGACACAAGUAUGACAAAAAUAGUUGAAAUAGUGAAUAAACUAACCAAACUCACCUAUACUAUGUAAAAAUAAGUAUUAUAAAAUUAUAUUAACAACUCCCCAGCAAAUCAACAACCCAUAAAUCAAUAAUAAUUAAUUAAGGAACUCGGCAAACCAUUAUUUCGACUGUUUAACAAAAACAUUGUCUCAUGAAUAAAAUAUGAGAUAACACCU
rnacentral:rRNA from 1 species